ACACCGCCGAAGCCGCGGCAAUACUUUGUAUUGGGUAGGGGAGCGUCGUGCAUGUGUUGAAGCGUUACCGUAAGGCGGCGUGGAGUGGGUGCGAGUGAGAAUGCAGGCAUGAGUAACGAAUUGGAAGGUGAGAAUCCUUCCCGCCGGAUGACUAAGGGUUCCUGGGUCAAGUUCGUCUUCCCAGGGUGAGUCGGGACCUAAGGCGAGGCCGACAGGCGUAGUCGAUGGAUAACCAGUUGAUAUUCUGGUACCCGUAUAUCCGCGCCCAUGAUAAAGCACUGAUACUAACCACCGCGGAUACGAUCGUCGUGUUCUUUGAACACGGUGGUUGUUGAUGUCGUGGGGCCUGAUGUGUGGUUCAAGUGAUGGGGUGACACAGUGUAGUAGCCAUGCCGCUUAGUGGAUUGUUGGUGUAAGCGUGUGAGGUGGUGUGUAGGCAAAUCCGCACACCGUUUAACCUGAGGCGUGAUGCGUAGCCCAAAUGUGGGUGAAGUUGGUGAUCUAGUACUGUCGAGAAAAGCCUCUAGCGAUGUGGAUGUAUGGCCCGUACCCUAAACCGACACAGGUGGUCAGGUUGAAAAUACUAAGGCGUUCGGGUGAACUGUGGUUAAGGAACUCGGCAAAAUGCCCCCGUAACUUCGGGAGAAGGGGGACCACACGACUUUGACACUUCUUGCAAGUGUUGUGGGUUGUGGGGUCGCAGAGAAUAGAGGGAAGCGACUGUUUAUCAAAAACACAGGUCCAUGCGAAGACGUUAAGUUGAUGUAUAUGGACUGACGCCUGCCCGGUGCUGGAAGGUUAAGAGGACCGGUUAGU
rnacentral:rRNA from 1 species